rnacentral:rRNA from 1 species
CAGCAGCCGCGGGAAUACGGAGGGUGCAAGCGUUAAUCGGAAUUACUGGGCGUAAAGCGCACGCAGGCGGCACGAUUAGUCAGGCGUGAAAUUCCUGGGCUCAACCUGGGGACUGCGCUUGAUACGGUCGAGCUAGAGGAUGGAAGAGGGUUGUGGAAUUCCCAGUGUAGAGGUGAAAUUCGUAGAUAUUGGGAAGAACACCGGUGGCGAAGGCGGCAACCUGGUCCAUUACUGACGCUGAGGCGCGACAGCGUGGGGAGCAAACAGGAUUAGAUACCCCUGUAGUCCCUGUCUCUUAUAA